CGCUAUCACUCCUACGGGGAGGCAGCAGUAGGGAAUCUUCCACAAUGGGCGCAAGCCUGAUGGAGCAACACCGCGUGAGUGAAGAAGGGUUUCGGCUCGUAAAGCUCUGUUGUUAAAGAAGAACACGUACGAGAGUAACUGUUCAUACGUUGACGGUAUUUAACCAGAAAGUCACGGCUAACUACGUGCCAGCAGCCGCGGUAAUACGUAGGUGGCAAGCGUUAUCCGGAUUUAUUGGGCGUAAAGAGAGUGCAGGCGGUUUUCUAAGUCUGAUGUGAAAGCCUUCGGCUUAACCGGAGAAGUGCAUCGGAAACUGGAUAACUUGAGUGCAGAAGAGGGUAGUGGAACUCCAUGUGUAGCGGUGGAAUGCGUAGAUAUAUGGAAGAACACCAGUGGCGAAGGCGGCUACCUGGUCUGCAACUGACGCUGAGACUCGAAAGCAUGGGUAGCGAACAGGAUUAGAUACCCUGGUAG
rnacentral:rRNA from 1 species